UGUGAACCAGGAAGCAAACCUUCACCGGAUGCCAAAUUUGUGGACUCCUUGAUCUUAGAUAGUCCAGCCUCCAGAACUGGAAGUAUCAGUUCUGCAAAUAAGGCUUCCUUCGAGGAGGACCAAGACAACUAAACGCAGUCACCAACAUCAAAAAAGCUUAUCUUCCAAGGGGGGAUACAGCAAAGGAUUUAAUUCAACAAUUAAAACAGGAUGUGGACACUUCUUCAGCCUGAUCUGGUGCGACCAUCAUCAUCUGCUGUGGGUCCUGCUGCCAUGGGCUGUUCUAAGGAUUGCUCCUGGCUGAUGGCAGCUGCUCUCCACUCAGAGGUUCCUUGAAAGCACUUCCUCCACCAAUCACUUGCCAAAAAUAAACCUGCUUCUAGAAAAUCCAACCUGCUUCUAGAAAAUCCAACCUGAGACCUAUACCAAAAU
rnacentral:lncRNA from 1 species